rnacentral:rRNA from 1 species
GUGCCAGCCGCCGCGGUAAUACAGAGGGUGCAAGCGUUAAUCGGAAUUACUGGGCGUAAAGCGCGCGUAGGUGGUUUGUUAAGUUGGAUGUGAAAGCCCCGGGCUCAACCUGGGAACUGCAUCCAAAACUGGCAAGCUAGAGUACGGUAGAGGGUGGUGGAAUUUCCUGUGUAGCGGUGAAAUGCGUAGAUAUAGGAAGGAACACCAGUGGCGAAGGCGACCACCUGGACUGAUACUGACACUGAGGUGCGAAAGCGUGGGGAGCAAACAGGAUUAGAAACCCGUGUAGUCC